rnacentral:rRNA from 1 species
GAUGAACGCUGGCGGCGUGCUUAACACAUGCAAGUCGAACGGGAAACCUUUUAUUGAAGCUUCGGCAGAUUUAGCUGGUUUCUAGUGGCGGACGGGUGAGUAACGCGUGGGUAACCUGCCUUAUACAGGGGGAUAACAACCAGAAAUGGUUGCUAAUACCGCAUAAGCGCACAGGACCGCAUGGUCCGGUGUGAAAAACUCCGGUGGUAUAAGAUGGACCCGCGUUGGAUUAGCUAGUUGGCAGGGUAACGGCCUACCAAGGCGACGAUCCAUAGCCGGCCGGAGAGGGUGAACGGCCACAUUGGGACUGAGACACAGCCCAGACUCCUACGGGAGGCAGCAGUGGGGAAUAUUGCACAAUGGGGGAAACCCUGAUGCAGCGACGCCGCGUGAAGGAAGAAGUAUCUCGGUAUGUAAACUUCUAUCAGCAGGGAAGAUAGUGACGGUACCUGACUAAGAAGCCCCGGCUAACUACGUG